UACGGAGGGUGCGAGCGUUGUCCGAAUCAGUCGUGGGCGUAAAGGGCGGCUAGGCGCCUGAUAAGUAGGGGGUGAAAUCCUGCGGACUUAACCGCAGGGCUGCCUUCUAAACUGUCAGGCUCGAGCACAGUAGAGGCAGGUGGAAUUCUCGGUGUAGAGGAUGAAAUUCGUAGAUAUCGAGAGGAACACCGGUGGCGAAAGGCGGCCAACUGGACGAAUACUGACGCUGAGACACGAAAGCGUGGGGAGCAAACAGG
rnacentral:rRNA from 1 species